GCCACACCUGAUGCUGGUUAUCGCAGCAGUAUUUAGUCCAGCAACUGUUCUUCGUGGAAACAUCUGCUGACAAGAUUGCCAUACAGUAGUGGUGUGCGAUACUGCAUAUUUUUUUAUUAUUGUGGCCGGUCUGCGAUGCCACAGUAGCUGAGAUGGACUCACAUGCACGGUAUCUACAAUCACGCCUCGCCUGCUUAAAACUUGUGCUCUGUUCUGUGUUGUAGUUGGUAUUGAUGUGUAUAGCUGGCAGCAUGAGAGCUGCAGCCAUUGAAUGUACUGUUAAAGCAACUGUGUGAUUAUUGUAAGAAUAAAUGACGAUGCAAAGCAUGAAAAUGCCAUCGGGUCUGCCGUGGUGGUUUAGUUAUCUUUUUUUUAUUUUUUUAUAAAAAUCUUACAAUAAAGUGUGCAAACCAGUGAACAAAUUAAAACAAGCACUGUUGAGGAACUAUAAUACAAGAUUUACAAUUAAAAUUCUCAACAACAAAAACAACUGGUAAAUAUAUAAAUAUAUGUAAAGAACUUAACAGCCCCCAAAGCGUCUAAGACACGUCAUGUGACAGCACAACAUCUAAACAAAUGGUGUGGGGGAAAGUGUGCCUGCUCUGCGCUGACACAGGAGUGGUGAGUCCAGCAACCUAGCUGUUUCGUUUUUUGCAAAAAGUACAAACAAAGGCAGAAGUUAAAGUAAAGAAUCAAUCUCACCAGGCUAGUGUUGAUCCGAUACCGACUUGGUAUUGAUCUAAUCGAUGCUUGGAUCAAUCCUCCCACCACUACUAUACGGAUCACUGCUUCACUUCACUAUAGAUAUCAUCACUUCCAACACAUAAUCAUCCCAAAAUGUAACAUACGACGCCAUGUGACAAAUCGUCGGUAUGUUAUGCUUUUGGCCACCCAACCCGUCUGUAUGUUACGCAUGAGAAACAUGAGAACCGUUUGGAAUGAAUCUACACAUGUACAUUUAUUUUACUUUCUCAUCAUUAAUCACUUUGAAAAAAACAAUCUAAAUACGAUGAAGACUUUAGUUAACCCUUUA
ensembl:lncRNA